GCCCAGGUGGCGGAAUGGUAGACGCGCGCGUUUCAGGUGCGCGUGCUGAGAGGCGUGCAGGUUCGAGUCCUGUUCUGGGCACCA
rnacentral:tRNA from 1 species